UCUUCAUUCCUCUUACUCUCUCACCGGUCAGAGAGAUGAGAGAGCGUGGAAAAUGAAGAGA
rnacentral:pre_miRNA from 1 species